UACAGAGGUCUCAAGCGUUGUUCGGAUUCAUUGGGCGUAAAGGGUGCGUAGGCGGCGCGGUAAGUCGGGUGUGAAAUCUCGGAGCUUAACUCCGAAACUGCAUUCGAUACUGCCGUGCUUGAGGACUGGAGAGGAGACUGGAAUUUACGGUGUAGCGGUGAAAUGCGUAGAGUAUCGUUAAGGAAGACCAGUGGCGAAGGCGGGUCUCUGGACAGUUCCUGACGCUGAGGCACGAAGGCCAGGGGAGCAAACGGG
rnacentral:rRNA from 1 species